GAACCAUGUCUCAUGUUUCAUAAAUUCUGGAGUAGGAUCAAAAAUUGAACAGAUAAAUAGAUAGAUAUAUAAAUUAUAUAUUAUUAAAAUUUAACAUCUUGAGAUUCAGUCCAUAUUGAGCCCACAGUGAGAUUCGCGGUGAAAAAUGGAGUCCAACGAGACCAAGAUUACCUCAAACGGAGCUCGGAUGGAAGAGAUACGAGCUUUUGAAGUCGGCACAAGAUCCGAGGCGGCGGAGGAUUGCCGGCAGUCGGUAGAGGACCGGCGGAGUGGCGGCGGCACGCAGCCCAGGUAGGGCCAACAUGCGAGACGCACGGUUCAGGCAGGCGUACGGCCCAGCCCGUGCUCGGGCCCACGCGUGGGCGCGGACCGGCCCAGGCCCAGGCUCCUUGCCUGGGCCUGUACCCCGAUCCACCAUGGAUCGAGCGGUCCAUGGCGGACCGCGUGGGCAUUUCUCACAUGUUUCUCGUGGUCCACAAUAUUAUUUUAUGGACAGAU
rnacentral:lncRNA from 1 species